UGGGACCAGGGAAGGAUGUUGAUUAUCCAGCCUCAAGGGCUGUCCAAGGGGUGGGUGGACGUCCGGCCAGUGCCCACCUGCCAGCGUGAGCCUGGAGGGUUGCACCAUGACUGGCGGGGGUCUGUGCAGUAUCUUGAUCGGAGGGGUCUCUCUGGUCCCCCUCCCCAUCCCUGAUUUCUCUCCUCCCGGUGGCUGGGAGCGGGGGCAGCCAGCUGCCAUGCCUGGGAUUGGGUGGCUCCGUGCCAUUUGACCUCUGGUUGGAGCCGCAUUCUCCCGUCCAGUUCCUCCAGGCACAGAAGCUCACACUCUGGGACAGGAAUCCUCUAUCUGCUUCUCAUUCAUUUUGGAAUUGGGAGGGGAAGGAGGCUGCUUAUGGGAAUUUUUAGGAACCCACCAGGCAGCUUGGCGCCCCUGAGGCUGCAGCUCUGUCCAGCCAGCACCUGCCCUGCAAACUCUAAAGACAGGCCUGGCUUGCUCAGCUGCCCAGAUGCCUCCCCCACACCGGGGGUGGCCUGUCCCUCUUCUGGCUCCUCUGUGAAGAGCCACCUCCAUGGCAUCACCCAGGAGCGUAAAGCCAGCUGGCGGUGCCGGGGAGGUGGCCAGUGACCCGGACAAAACCCAGAGAAGCUGGACUUGACCAGCACGGGCUCCGCUCUCCCCUCCCUUUCUCCUGGAGGGUCCCCAGCAUCUCCUAGACCUGAGGACACUAAGUGCCCACGAAGACUUGCAGGGACCUCCCCCCUCCCCCUUCCCACAUCGAGAAGAGAACGUUUUAAAAAUGUUUUUAUUUAAUUAAAAAAAAGACAGAACUAACAACCCAAAACCAGUAGUUGGUACGGGAUUCACAGGGGCUUAACUGGCGAGACACACAGGGGCGGGAUGGAGAGGGCGUGAGGUCGGGGGAGUGUGAGGGCCACAGGCCACCCGGGGCCCCCGUGGGCGCAGGUCUCAGAGCGAGGGCAGGCGGGGAGGGGGUGACCAGAACCUGGGGCAAUGGUGGGAGAAAGGCUGUGAAGACCAUGGCGCUGAGGGAGCUCGCUCCCUGCUCUUCUGUCCCUCCUGUCGCUUCUUUCUACUUUCUUGGUCCCGAAAGUGGGCCCUGCGCUCUCUUCCUGGGACUGGGCAAGAGGUAGGAUUCAUCGGAACGCAGCUUUCUCCACGAAAUGACGGAAACUUCCAGGGCAGCAGGUGGGAAGGUGGCUUACGUGGAAGAAACGACAAGGCUGCCUGUUUUUGGAAGUGACCUUGCUGGGGGAUGAGUCCCCGGAUUCCGCCCCCAACCUUCUAGCCUGGUGCGAUGGUGUCAUGGCCUGGGGAGGGGGAGGGCGGGCAGGGGCAGGCCACGAGCCCGGACACUCCAGCACUCACUGCUGUACAUGCUUGGACAAGCCACACAAAGCCAACCUCGACGGGAGGGAAGGGUUUCGAGCAGCGCGGAGGGACCCCGGCACGCGGUCACUGGGGGCGGGACGUGUGGAGGUCCCCUCUGCGGGCGGUGGAGGAUGGCGACGACCAUGACCCGGAUCUGAACUCCUGGGGCCGAGUCCGCCCAGGGGGUCCACGAGCAGGUGGCUGAGGUAAGAAUUUUCUUGUCACUUCUAAGUACGACAGCUACCGGGAUCGCAGACAACUGCUUCAGAGGGAUUACCAGGUCUCAAAAAGUAAGAAAGGAUCUGUCUUCAGAAAGCACGUGUUUAUAUAAAAGAGGCUCAGCUCCGUGUUCCAGAAAGCUGUCCCCCUGAGCCCGGACACGCUUCCACAUUCUCUGCUUGCCUCCGGAGGCGAGAAACGGUUGGAAAAACGUCAAGCUUGGAACCUGCCGCCUCCCUUCCCAGGCAGAACAUUCCAGAAGCAGAGAGGAGGAGCCUUUACCUCACGCCCAGGCCAGCAAAGACGCCCCCAAACCCCGCGGAUUCCUCCGCAGGCCUCGAUGUCCCCAGGCUGAGGGAAGCGGCCCCGGACAGCACAAAGGCCAGAGCACCAGGUGGUCACAGGCUCUCUCCUCAGCAUUGGUGUUACCUCAACAAGCAGCCGCUGCCGGAGCCAGACAGACAGAGGGAAACGGGGCAAACUUCGGCUUCUCGCCUGCGGCUCACAGACCAGAACCUUGGGUUCAAAAGCAGCUGACCAGCAUCCAAAGGCCCCUGCGGGCCCGGUCCUGCUGGAAGAAGUCGUGCACCUGCAGGAAGCCGGCCUCCUGGUCGGGGCUGUAGCUGGCAGCCGUGGUCACCUUGAGGGGCUCCCUGGACAGCGUGUACAUGGACAGCUCGCCCAUGGGAAUGGCCCCGGCGAUCUUCAGCCCCACUGGAGAUGUGUCCCUGGACGGAGAGGCCUCGGUGGACCUGGAGCUGGACCGCGAGCGCCGCCGCCGGUACCGGUAGCUCGGCAUCCUGGCGUAGGGUGAUGAGGAGGGAGCCUUAAGGAACUCCCGUUUGGUCUUAAAUCUCAACUCUUUGUUUUUCUCAAUGUAAAUGUUUACGGCCAGGACGCCCACGGUCUCAGCCACAAUGAAAGACAGGGCUCCGAAGUAAAAAGACCAGCCGUAGUUGUAAUGGUUUUU